UUUAUCAAAAACAUCGCCUCUUGCAAAAUCAACGAAUAAGAGGUCCCGCCUGCCCAGUGACUUUAAGUUUAACGGCCGCGGUAUUUUGACCGUGCAAAGGUAGCGCAAUCACUUGUCUUUUAAAUGGAGACCUGUAUGAAUGGCAUCACGAGGGCUUAACUGUCUCCUUUCUUAGGCCAAUGAAAUUGAUCUCCCCGUGCAGAAGCGGGGAUAAUAACAUAAGACGAGAAGACCCUAUGGAGCUUUAGACACUAAGGCAGUCUACGUCAAGAAACCUCUUACAAGAGGCCGAACUAGGUAGGCCCUGUCCUAUGUCUUCGGUUGGGGCGACCCCGGGGAGAUAAAGAACCCCCACGUGGAAUGAAAAUAUUUUUCAGAACUAAGAGCUACCGCUCUAAGAGCCAGAACUUCUGACCAUCAAGAUCCGGCAACGCCGAUCAACGGACCGAGUUACCCUAGGGAUAACAGCGCAAUCCCCUUCUAGAGUCCCUAUCGACAAGGGGGUUUACGACCUCGAUGUUGGAUCAGGACAUCCUAAUGGUGCAGCCGCUAUUAAGGGUUCGUUUGUUCAACGAUUAAAGUCCUACGUGAUCUGAG
rnacentral:rRNA from 1 species